GGACCGGCACAGCGUGUCGACGAUUCUAUUUUUUGCCCUUUAUUCUUUCUAUUUUACUCACGCGAUACCACUACACCUUAGCCU